rnacentral:rRNA from 1 species
GACGAACGCUGGCGGCGUGCUUAACACAUGCAAGUCGAACGAAGAGCGAUGGAAGCUUGCUUCUAUCAAUCUUAGUGGCGAACGGGUGAGUAACGCGUAAUCAACCUGCCCUUCAGAGGGGGACAACAGUUGGAAACGACUGCUAAUACCGCAUACGAUCUAAUCUCGGCAUCGAGGAUAGAUGAAAGGUGGCCUCUACAUGUAAGCUAUCACUGAAGGAGGGGAUUGCGUCUGAUUAGCUAGUUGGAGGGGUAACGGCCCACCAAGGCGAUGAUCAGUAGCCGGUCUGAGAGGAUGAACGGCCACAUUGGGACUGAGACAAGGCCCAGACUCCUACGGGAGGCAGCAGUGGGGAAUCUUCCGCAAUGGACGAAAGUCUGACGGAGCAACGCCGCGUGAGCGAUGACGGCCUUCGGGUUGUAAAGCUCUGUUAAUCGGGACGAAAGGCCUUCUUGCGAAUAGGGAGAAGGAUUGACGGUACCGGAAUAGAAAGCCACGGCUAACUACGUG